ACUGGACUCAUGUAAUGUUCUCCCAAUACGUUUUAGAUUUGACAUCAACAAGUCAUCAUCCACAACCAUAACUGAACGGCUAGAUUGUUCCCAGCAUGUUUUCCACCACUUAUGAUAGUGAAAGCAGGGACAGGAAGAGUCAGGUUGGUUUUUCCAUGAAGAUCAUAAAUGUGUUUGUAAAGCGGAAGCUGGUAUUUCAACGGCAAGAUUUUCAAAGAAGUGCACAAAGUGCCGAUCCAAGUGCUAUAUUAAUUAAUUAAUUAUCUAAAAUAAAAGGCAUCAUCCAUGCCUCUUUUUCUGCGGCUCCAGCUUUGCAUGCAGCAAUUGCAACUGCUCACAUAGCAUUUGCUUCAAGUUCACCCUGCGGAUGACUCAGAGUAGGAAAAAGGAUGCCUUACAAGAUGCCAGCAUCUUAAACACUUGAACAACAAUCAUUUCCAGAUUGCAGAUCUUCUCGCAUGAAACCUAAGGUUGAAUCUUGAACUGACAAUUUAUGCUCAGUACAAAGGCCAUCUGAUGACCCCACAAAGAUGUCAAAAGGGGCACAACGUAUGGAUGUUUAAUCAAGUUUGAGGAAAUAUAAAACAAGCCUACAGUAAUGAGGAUUCGGAAGUUCAUAUUUCGAAACCAUCUAACUUCAAAAGUACUGGGAGAACCUUUCUCCACGCCGGUUGGAUGUGAAAAGCAUGGGGUUUAAGUCCACAUAUUAUUAAUACACAAAUAACUUUCUUGCAUGGUUGUCUAUUGGGAUAAAUGGACAAAAGCCACAACAUUUCUCUUCCAUUUGCAAGAAACCAGACAUAUUUGCAUGCGACACAGUAGAUUCCAUCCAGAGUCAACUAGAUUCAGAACUAUCAUCCUGUGUGAAAAUGUGUCAAAGGUUAACAAUUGGUCAUUAAAGUUCUAUGUUGGUGGAAAGAACUGAAGCAAAGCAAACAUGUGAUUACACUGAUUAAAGACAGGGAAGAAAAGAAAGCAUAACCUUGUUUUCUGUUUUGUCCAAGUCUAUCAUGGCCUGAUCAAUUUGAGACUGAAGUGCGGGGUCCAUACCAAUCAACGCUUCAGAAAUGUUCUCAUUGAUGUUCUCAGCAGCUCUACUCACACUGUUUCUAAGAUACCUUCCUUUAUCCCCAUCUCGUAGUUCAACAGCUUCAUAACUAGGACUGAGUGGUCAUUAAUCGAAAUCACUCACCACACAACAUUCCAAUUUUUUUUUUAAAUGGAGGGGCUUCUAGGCUCUAGAAAUUGAAAAGAAAAUAAUUAAACAUGUUAAUUUAGAAAUGGGGUUUUCCCCGAGAUUCUCAAGGGGUUAUCGUUUGAUGGCAAUUUAGAAACGGCGUGUCGGUUACUCUCAAAGAUCUUUCAAUUUCUCGUACGCUUUUCGCUGAUGAACGAUCAUCUUUUUACACAGGAUUAAUGGUCAACCAUGGUUUCCUGCAGGCAUUACAAAAACUAGCUGGAUUAAUUAAACAUGUUAAAGAUAGCUACAGGGAUUCAAGAGUUUAUUAGCAAGUGUUGCCCCAUGCCAGCCAUCUGUCGUGCAGAUAUAUUUUUGUGUAAGAAAAGGAAUACUACAAGGACAGGAGUAGCGUGUACAU